AGAGGGAGGGAGAGAAGCAGACUCCCUGCUAAGAGCCGAUGCCGGGUGGACUCAAUCCCAGGACCCUGGGAUCAUGACCCGAGCCAAAGGGAGAUGCUUAACCAACUGAGCCGCCCAGGUGGACUCUAAACUAAUUUUCUUCUAUCUUGAUAGGAAGCUGAGGUUGGUACAAGUGCCCUUCCUAGUUGUGCACAUGUAAGGAAACACACAGUGCCUUACCUGAGGCUUUCUUAACCACCUCAAUAGAGGUAAAAUGGCACAGGGCAGCGGCAGCCAGUAUUCUGUACUGGAACUCCAGCGAGUCAACGGCCAGAAUACACAGAUCUAAAAGCUAGCAAAGGAAAAAGCAAAAACACAUAUUUAGGAGGAGAAAGGAUGAGUAUAACGUGUUGCUCCUAAAGACCAGUCAGCUGUAAUGAGUACUUCGAUGUGGACCCCUAUGCCAAGAUUGCUAGAACUGCAGGGAUCCGAAGAGAACUUACUUCAGAGUGGUGGCUCGAGUUGGGAAGUGAAUAGGGACCAGGACUGUUAGGAUGCAGUGCUGUGGUAGUGGUAGGAAGGGCGCCUAAUCCAGAGUGGGGAAGGUCUGUGCUGUGUGAAUCUUAAAAGCCAAGGCAGCCGGGAAGAUUGCGGGGGGGCGGGGUAGGAAGUAUUCCAUGUCUAGGGAACAGCACUGGCCAAGACGAUGAGAAGGUACCCGUUUCCCUUGGAACAUCUCGUGCAGAACAAAGGAAUUCCUUUCCUUCAUUCCUUAAAGGGGGAGGAGGACAGUAGCUGGAGAGGGACAGAUUAGGUCAUAGGUGAGCUCGGUUACAUCAUAAAGGGUCCUUAAGAAUUUUAGUUCUGAUUACUGAAAUUACUGGAUGAUUUUAAGUCAGGAAAGAUAAAUUUUUAAGAAUGAUCCUUCAGAUACCUAGUCCCUUCUAUAUAUCUGCCUCAGUGUAGUCUGAACAGUGAGAUUAGAUUAGCUAAAAAAAAAGGCAGUAUAAUCCAGGUACUAAGUUGAACAAAGGGCAGAAUGGUGUAAAAAGGCUACAUUUCAGAGGCCUAAGGUGAUACCUGUCCAGUGGAAUAAAACAAGUUGUUCACACGGGUCCAGAAGAUAGUAAUUAUUCAAAGACCCUCCUAUGGAUCCAAGUGCCAGGAUUAUGUACAGAGACCACACCGGUGUAUUUUGUUCAGCAGAAUGUGCCAUAGAACACUUCACCCAGGCACUCCAGAAGUCAAGAAGCAGCCACCUACUUGUACCGACACGAUUGAAACAGCUUCCCUUCUAUUCAGAAUAAGGUAUGAGAACUGGACUCAAAAGGGCAGCGUUCUAUAGUCUUAAGAACUUUUCUGAUAGCUUCUGAGAUCUACUCUGCCAUGUAUCAUUCUACCAAGGAGCCUGUAGGGUUUCUCCCUCCGUGCAUCAUCUCUGUCAAGCACAGGGAAAACUACAGAGCAAGUAUCCAAGGGCUGGAGGAAGAUCAGUUGGUCAUUUACACAAGUAAUCCCUUUCUCAAUAAUUUGAGACUCUUAGAAUUUAUCCAGAGAAGGGGAAUGGACCUAAGCAGUAGAACAUUCUGGCACAGAUCUUUAGAAACUUGGAGAUCACUGUUACUCCUUUACAUUAAUGGCACAGUGCAUUAUGGAAAGGAAUAAAGGUAUAUAUUAAAGGGAAACUAUAGGAAACCUACAGGGCUUAUUAGCCUUCUGGAUAUUCAAAGCCUCCUUAUCACUUAGGACCUAGAAAUCAGGAUUCCAAAUCCUAUUUUGAUUUUGGUGACACAGAAAAGGACCUCUAAGGGCCCUGAAACCUCAUCCUGGUUCUUUGCGUAGCAGGGUUCAAAACCUCGUCAGUUAUACGUCCCGUUCAUCUUGGUUACCCUCAGCCGUAACUAAUGCCUGGCACACAGCACCACCCACAGACAUCAGGAAUUCUCAAUUGGGUUUGGCUUGUAAGGGAUGUAGUGGCUGUGUUAAGAUUUCAUUCUCACAAGGCAGACGCGUUCCAUUUUGGACUACCGUAGGUACCCCCAAAAGGAUGGCUCCUACCAAGGGCACGUGGAAGGCGCACACACAUCUAAAUAUCUUUCCAUUAUACAGAAACAAAGGAAAUUUAUAUUGAUGGAACAUACCUCUAAAAGCCAGUCUAGAAGUAUUGACCUCAUCUGUGGCUCCAAGUCAGAAUGCAGAACUUCAAAAUGUUUGUCGUGAACAUAUCUGCUCUCUUUUUUUAGCAUGUUUAGCCAAACAUCCUUUGAACAUCCCCAACUAUGGAAAGAGAAAGAAAAGAAUAACCAUGUGACCCACAGAAUAUGCUGUUUUACAAAGAAUAAACUUCAGGCAUUGAAAUAAAAUUUUCAGUUAGAACAUGGAAGGAGCAGCUCUUAAUAAGUUAGGACAAAAUUGCUAGAAACCAUUUCUUUAUCAUGAAAAAGCAGAAGCCUGAAAUCGUACAGCAAGAACCUAGGCUGUGGAUUUCAGGAGUACUUUCCCCAUUUAUAAAUUACAAGUUCUCCCACUUAAGAUAACAAGGUUUUCUCAAGAGCGACACAGAAAAUCUAAAUAUUUAAGCAUAUAAUCCCAGUAGAGACCAGCUGCAGUCCUCUCCAAAUCAAUCGGUAGUCGAGUCACCUACCGUGGUGGUAGCUGGACAAAGUACAGCGAAGGAAGGGGAGGGACGGUAAGUGUAAAUGUCUGCCCGUUAAUUUGUGUAUUAGAGUCAAAUAUACUACACGUUUUGUGUAAGCUGUACCUUAGUCACAUUAACUAGAAAAAAGAACUGUGUAUGGAUCUUCCUAAGCUUGGCAAGAAAUAAUAGGGUUGAUAUGUCAAGUGAAAAUGGAGUUCAUGUUAAAGUGCUUCCAUUUGAACAAUGAUUUUAGAAAAAUCAUUUAAAUUCCAUUAAAAGAGGAUUCAGCUCUUCUCCUGAGGCUAAUGGUAUUCAGCAAUGAAAAUAACUUCAUAAAAUCAGUAUUUUAAAUACCCAUAUCCUUUGCAAACAGCACCAUUCUCGAUACAUGCAUAAAUAUUAGUAAAGAAAGCAAGUUUUGGAUGUUUUUCUAUUCUUAUAAUGAAGGCAAAAUAGGACUCAAAAGUGUCAUAUUAUGUACAAUAUUUAGUACAAUUUUAACCUUUGAUAUUAAAUUACAGAAUAGGGAUCCCUGGGUGGCACAGCGGUUUGGCGCCUGCCUUUGGCCCAGGGCGCGAUCCUGGAGACCCGGGAUCGAAUCCCACGUCGGGCUCCCGGUGCAUGGAGCCUGCUUCUCCCUCUGCCUGUGUCUCUGCCUCUCUCUCUCUCUCUCUCUCUGUGACUAUCAUAAAUAAAAAAAUAAAUAAAUAAAUAAAUAAAUUACAGAAUAUUUUCUUACCUUAAAUCAGGCAAAGGUGAAGGAUUAAUAAAAAGAUUUUUAAAUCUGUAAUUUGUAAAUCUAGAGAAGUCACUUGUUCCCAUUUCUUUGUGGGGUGUUUCAAUGAUAAUACAUGGACUGAUCCCCCCGGAUAAUACAGGUGGCCAACAAUUCUGUCAUUAAAAAAAAGAAAAAAAUGGUGCAAAAAAUCAGCUUUUGUCUUGGAUCGUUCCUAAGUGGAAGCGCAUAUCUCUACACGGUCUAUAGCUAGCAUGGCUGACAUCUAGUAGACAGGCGUAUCUUAUACAUAAGACAUAACAGCUCCUAGUGAUCUUCGUGAGU